UAGUUUUAAACGCAUGAAGUAAUAUUAUGCGCAUGCGCAGUCGACAUCAUUGCGCGACAAUGUAACCGAAAUAACUAAUUUUUCAUUAACAUUAUACUACUAUAUAUUAAUUAGAAAUUUUUGAACACUUGUAAAAUACGACGUACAUAUUGUUUGGAGCAAAAUUUUACAACAUUUUAGUAAUGGCAUAAUAGGAUACGAUAGUGUACUAUCUCAACAAAAUAUGUUUAUGCGUAAAAUGAUGACGGAAGUCGUUUAAUUGGAGGGAGACGUAUCUAGUGAAAUAUUAAACGGUACAUAAUAAAUGAAUUUAAGUUUAUUUCUACAAUUACACACCAUAAACCGAUAAAUAAACAACCAUAAACCAUUUUUGACACUGAUAUUGGUUAAUCAGUAACCAACAAAUAUUCUGACCGUCGAUAAUGAUUAUUUGUAACCAAAAACACUUUCAGAUCUUUUAUAAUGAUUGUUCCUGAACCAUUUAAACUAAUUGUAAGAUACUUAUAAUUCCAAUACUAUCACUCUUUUAAUUUAGAUUAUAACUAUUAUUAUUUCUGAAUCAAAUAUACUUUAGUGAACCAUU
rnacentral:lncRNA from 1 species